rnacentral:lncRNA from 1 species
AAAAUAAGUGAGAUGACUGGCGAGGCAUGCAGUUUUAUCAAAGUAAUGACGUCGGUAUGGUUAUUGAUAGAGUUAUAAAUUUGAAGGAUUUUCUAAGGAAAUCGAAUUUUAACAAUCACCAGAAUCGAAACAGUCAAAGAAGCAACGUCAUAGUAGUGCUACGUGUGCCGUGGUAUCUUGGCCAUCGCCAAAUGUCUGUAUUAAUUUUUCAAAGGAUCCUGCAUUGUUCCAAAAUUGGGCGAAGGCCUGCAAAAGAAAAUACUAGUUCAAUCCAAAAACAUUUCGCAUCAGCAGCAACCAUUUCAGCGAAGACUGUUAUGAAAGAGAUCUCUGUAAGGAGUUACUUGGACUAGCAUCACGAAAGUUGCUCAAGAAAGGAUCCAAUUUUAUCUCCAAAUUUAUACACCUCCAGCAUUUCAGGCGUAGCUAACCCUUCUAUAUAUAUAUAUAGCGAAUAUAAAGGUCUUGGAAAAGGGAGAUCCACCAAACAAUUCAACCUUUAUUGGCAAAUGAGCAUUUAGAUUCGAGUGAAAUGAUCCCUAAAGUUGUAGAAAUUAUAUCGAGUAAAAGUCUGUAAUGCCAGUUUUGGGGUUGAAUGUGACAUGUUCACCAAGAAAUAAGAACACUAAGAAAAAAAAAUACGUAGUGCAGGAUGAGCUAAAAUUAUCUGAAAGUGUAGACUUCAAAUCUAAAGAAAGAGGUUAUACGUUUGAAGUCUAAAAAAUACAAAAAAGAUUACCUUCGAUAUAUUCAUAAACUGACUUAAACUCCAGCUCAAGUCAAAACAAUCCUCAGCCCACAAAAGAUUCAUUUUUAUUACGAUAGAGAGGAUGUUACAAAAGCUUUAGUUUUGAAGACGAUGACAAAAACGCAACACAAGCCCUAACUUUCAUGUUUGAAGUCAAAUAUUCCCUAGAAAUUUUAAAGUUUAUGCAAAAAUGAGUACAAGAAUUCGAAUCAAUGUUCUAAACAUUAAAUUGAAGAGCAAGAAGGAAAUUGGGAGUUGAAAGCAGCUUAAACAGUUCUCAAACUAAUCAAAAACUUCUAGAACAAACAAAAACGUAAUGCACUUAUAUUUGAAGCGUGUCUACAUAUGUAUCUUUACAAUAUGCGAAAAAUAUCUGGCUAAAUAUUGCUCACACAAA